rnacentral:misc_RNA from 1 species
AACAUCGCGCACCUGCGGGAACCUGCGGAGGGAUCAUUACCGAGUUUACAACUCCCAAACCCCUGUGAACAUACCUAUACGUUGCCUCGGCGGAUCAGCCCGCGCCCUGUAAAAAGGGACGGCCCGCCCGAGGACCCUAAACUCUGUUUUUAGUGGAACUUCUGAGUAAAACAAACAAAUAAAUCAAAACUUUCAACAAUGGAUCU